UUGUGCCAACAUAGUAUUUCUGCAAACAUCUGCAGUGUACUAAUUUGUGUCUGAAUUUGUAAUAAAAAAAUUGGUUAUCGAACCAAACCAAACUAAAUAGUUCAGUUUGGGUUCAGUUAUGAAUGUUUUUUAUUUUCUGAGUUCAGUUUGGUUUGGAACUGAACCGUCCGAAUGAUCGCAUGUUCAUUUUGUAGAAGAAACAAGCCUUCAUAUGCAUAAUUGAUUUUCUUUUUGAGUUAUAUUAGUUUCUUGUAAAGAAGAUGAAUGGCAGCGAAAUAAGAGGAGAGAUUGGUGGGAUUAUUGUAUUGUAAAGAAGGAGCUGAUUCUAAAUGCAGAGGAGCAGCUUGAGUCCAAGCCAAAGGCGAUAAUGCGCCUGGGCUGGUUACUUUGUUUCAUCUCUGGCGUCUUGGGAGGAUCAGGAAACUAGUAAGGUGUACACUUAUGUGUAUUUUGUCUGCCAGCAUGGUUCCAUGUUUAAGACAAAAUAUAAGUUUCUGCCAUUAAAGCGUAGUUGAGAAGGCAUUAUGAGGGCCAAAUUGCAGAUUUUGGAAUUGUACAGAAAGAAGAUCUUGAUCUUGUAAGUUAAAUAUGACCUUUAUUAUAUUUUCUUAGGUGUUAAUUUUUCUCAUCUGAACUCGUUAUGUCAAAAUAAUAACGAUUAACGACAAUGUUGCAUGUUAUUGUUCCUCCCAUCAUGUGUCAUUCAAAAAUGAAAAAGCAUCUCAAAAACUAUUACUUGUUGCACUUCUUUAUAACUGAAAUAGCCUGCAGCAAUAUGGCUGUUUGUUGUUAACAUGGUUGUGAUCUGGAAUUUCGAAAAUAUCUAGAAAACCUCAGAGCGAUCUAUUGAAAUGGGAGAGAUAAUUAUUUGGGAGGUUCACUAGUGAAAGAUAACACUUGAUUUUAGUUUGUUGGCAUGUUUUAUCACAUAGUUCAAGUAGUCCCAUGACAAUAAGAACAUGAUGCUUGCACUAAGUAUAAUGUUCAAUUUUUUUGUAUUCCUUGUGUUAGGAGCUCGAUUGUAGUACCUGUUCCACAACAUGAUAUAAUCAAGUUGUUUUUUUUUUUUCUUUUUUGUUCUUAUGCUGUUAUUAUAGGGUUAAUUAUAGUCUAUGGCAUGUCUUUUAGGCCGAAUUAUAUUUUGUAAACUGCAUGGAAAUGUAUUUUCUACAUGAGCAUUGUUGUUUUGAUGUCCGAGAAUAUAUUUUCCACUUGAGCAUCAAAACGGAAAUAUAUUCUCCACUUGAACAUCAAAACAAUGUUUGCACGUAAUUUACAAAAUAAAUAAGAAUAUCCACGUCAGAUUUGCGACUUCCACGUCAAAUACUGCUAUUAUAUUAGCAAAUCGCGCUCAAAGGUUGGGCUGCUUUUUUUGUUCUUAUGCUGCUAUUAUAUCAUGAAAAUAUACUUUGUUCUGAAGUGCUACUCAAAGAUAUCUUUUGAUACUGCUCAACAAUCGAUGCAAUUAACGACAGAUCUUAUUCAUUUUGUUGAAAUAAACUAAGCAAAGUUGGAGGCAUAUGAGUCCAUAUUGAUAGGGAAAAGGUAAUGCCUAUCUUCUUUUAGAAAAAGUCAUAACAAUAAGCUGUGUCUAAAUUUGAAGAUGUUUUGAUUAAUGACCCCAAGAUUUCAUAGAUGUACCUUAUCAUGUUUGCUUUGCUAUUGACAAAGGUAAUUGUUUAUUCUUAUUUGUGAAUAUUCUUUCUUAUUCUCCACGUGAAUCCCAAGUUACAAAUAUAUCCCCAUGUAUAGAAGAUGGAUACUUGUUUAUAAGAAGUUCAAAUCAAUUGAGAUUAUUAUCUUGAGCUGAUGGUAGAAAGACUGGUCAUAUUCAUUGUUUGUAAGGUUAAUCAUGUAUGGUUUCUCAA